UGGUGUAGUGGCUAACAUUAUCGCCUCUCACGCGAUAGCCCGGGGUUCGAUUCCCCG
rnacentral:tRNA from 1 species